GGAGAUGCGGACCUUGAGGCUUAGGAUCCCCUCCUAGCCGAGUGGAGUGGAGUGGGAAUGUCCAGAGCCCUGAACCUUCACGGAAGCCCCCGAGACACCUAUUAUUAGUGACUUCCUCUGAAAUAUUCAGUUUAACAUAUAGAAAUAUGGUUUAUCUAGGAGUGUUGUUGUUGUUUGGCUUAAAGCUGUCUGAAAUGGGUUUCUGUUUCUUGCAACUGAAGAGUCUUAGCUGAAGAGGCUUAACUAGGGCAACGAUGCUUCAGUGUGGUUAUGAGGAUUAAAUAACAUAAAGUAUUUCAAGCACUUCAGUUAGCACCUCCAGAAAUGUUUCUCCCCUCUUCCAACUGUUAACAGUAUCGCAUGUACCGAGACCAUCAGACUUACCUGUGUUUUGUACAUGCUCAAAAUAAGAGCCCAUUUUGCGGUCAGUUUUCUUUUCUUUUUAUUUAUUUAUGUAUUUAUGUAUUUAUUUAUUUUUUGAGUCGGAGACGGAGUUUCGCUCUUGUUGCCCAGGCUGGAGUGCAAUGGUAAGAUCUCGGCUCACCACAACCUCCGCGUCCCUGGUUCAAGAGAUUCUCCUGCCUCAGCCUCCCAAGUAGCUGGGAUUACAGGCAUGCGUCACCACUCCCGGCUAAUUUUGUAUUUUUAGUAGAGACGGGGUUUCUCCAUGUUGGUCAGGGUGGUCUCGAACUCCCGACCUCAGAUUAUCCGCCCCCCCCCCAACCCCGGCCUCCCAAAGUGCUGGGAUUACAGGCGUGAGCCACCUCGCCCAGCCAGUUUUCUUUUUUGCAAGUUUUUCCUCAUUCCAUCUUUCAGGUGGUGUUAUGAUUUAUGUUUUUUUUUUUGCUAUGUUUUAAAGUUUUGUUUGUUCCUGAAAGGAUUGAGUUAGUCAUACUCCUCAGUUCAUGGCAUACUAUCAUCAGACCAUGACAGUGAGGCCCUCUUGUUUUAUUUAUUUAUUUAUUUAUUUAUACCCUUCAAGUCCCAUUUUCUCACUACAAUAGGCAAUUUUCUAAUGUGCUUAAUGUGGAUAUUUCCAUUUAUGUGUUUUCUAAACAUAGUUAUUAUUUCGUGAGCAUGCAUUAUUAAAUGUACUUCAAACCUACUGAGAUAUUUGUCUCAUUACUUAUAUUUGUUUAACCUAAGCACUGUUUUUUGGCUCCAUCCACGUUGCCAGAUGUUAAUAUUUAAUCUGUUACUUCACAUUGAUGCCUAAUAGUCCGCGGUAUGCAUCUGUCCACUCUUCCAUUGAUGAGCUCCCAUGCUGCUUCCAACUCCAUGCUACUACAAAUAACCCUGCAUUGAAUCCCCUUGUGAACUUGUAAAUAAUUUGUUUUAUGUUACUUAGGGGAGGAAUUGCUGCUGGGCUACUGGGUAUAAAUCUGUUUAAUGUGUCCGAGUAAUGCCAUAUCGCUUUCCAAAAGUGGUGGAACCAAUCUUGCAGCAGUGCAAGAUUCUGUAUUUCCACGUCUGACAACACUUGCAAUUUUUCUUUUUCUUUUCUUUUCUUUUUUUUUUUUCUUUUUGAGGCAGAGUCUCACUCUGCUGUCUAGGCUGGGGUGCAGUGGUGUAAUUAUGGCUCACUGCAGCCUCCCAGGCUCAACCGAUCCUCCUGCUUCAACCUCCUGAGUAGCUGGGACUAUAGGCACAUGCCACCAUGCCCAACUAAUUUUUUAAUUUUUUUGUAGAAAUAGGAUCCCACUGUGUUGCCCAGGCUGGUCUCAAACUCCUGGGGUCAAGUAGUUCUCCUGCUUUGGCCUCCCAAAGUGCUGGGAUUACAAGCAUGAGCCACUGCACCCAGCCAACAUGUGCUAUUUUCUAGAUUUCUAAUCACUGGUUUGAUAGGAAUAAAGUGAUAUCUCAUUAUUUGUUUAAUUUGCAUUUGAUUACUAAUGUAAAUUUCCAUAUAUUUAUUAGCUUUCUCCUCUGCAAUUAAUUGCCUGUUCAUAUUCUUUGCUUCUUUUUUUUAAAUUGGGUUGCUUUUUCCUGUUCAUUUGCAGGCGUUCCUUACAUAUUUUAGGGUGAUAUUACACUGUUGUCAGUUUUAGACAAAGCAAAUAUAUUCUCCAUUCUGCCAUCUGCCCGUUAACUUCGUUAAUGAUGCCCUUUAUGGAACAGAAAUCCUUAAUUUUUUAAUAAUGAAGCUCCCCAGCUUUUGCUUUAUGACUUGCGCUUUUAAAACGUUGAAAUAUGGGUACCACUUUCUUAGUUGUGCUUAUUCUCUGCCAGAUAUCUCCAAAUCUGAAUUCACUGGUGAGGUCUCUAGGCAUUCCAUUCACUCCUCUUCACUGAAUUCCAAAGUCACUGUUCUGACUGAAUUUAAC
rnacentral:lncRNA from 1 species